GAUUAAGUUAUUAAGGGCGCACGGUGGAUGCCUUGGCACUAGAAGCCGAUGAAGGACGUUACUAACGACGAUAUGCUUUGGGGAGCUGUAAGUAAGCUUUGAUCCAGAGAUUUCCGAAUGGGGAAACCCAGCAUGAGUUAUGUCAUGUUAUCGAUAUGUGAAUACAUAGCAUAUCAGAAGGCACACCCGGAGAACUGAAACAUCUUAGUACCCGGAGGAAGAGAAAGAAAAUUCGAUUCCCUUAGUAGCGGCGAGCGAAACGGGAAGAGCCCAAACCAACAAGUUUGCUUGUUGGGGUUGUAGGACACUCUAUACGGAGUUACAAAGGACGACAUUAGACGAAUCAUCUGGAAAGAUGAAUCAAAGAAGGUAAUAAUCCUGUAGUCGAAAAUGUUGUCUCUCUUGAGUGGAUCCUGAGUACGACGGAGCACGUGAAAUUCCGUCGGAAUCUGGGAGGACCAUCUCCUAAGGCUAAAUACUCUCUAGUGACCGAUAGUGAACCAGUACCGUGAGGGAAAGGUGAAAAGCACCCCGGAAGGGGAGUGAAAUAGAACCUGAAACCGUGUGCUUACAAGUAGUCAGAGCCCGUUAAUGGGUGAUGGCGUGCCUUUUGUAGAAUGAACCGGCGAGUUACGAUUUGAUGCAAGGUUAAGCAGUAAAUGUGGAGCCGUAGCGAAAGCGAGUCUGAAUAGGGCGUUUAGUAUUUGGUCGUAGACCCGAAACCAGGUGAUCUACCCUUGGUCAGGUUGAAGUUCAGGUAACACUGAAUGGAGGACCGAACCGACUUACGUUGAAAAGUGAGCGGAUGAACUGAGGGUAGCGGAGAAAUUCCAAUCGAACCUGGAGAUAGCUGGUUCUCUCCGAAAUAGCUUUAGGGCUAGCCUCAAGUGAUGAUUAUUGGAGGUAGAGCACUGUUUGGACGAGGGGCCCCUCUCGGGUUACCGAAUUCAGACAAACUCCGAAUGCCAAUUAAUUUAACUUGGGAGUCAGAACAUGGGUGAUAAGGUCCGUGUUCGAAAGGGAAACAGCCCAGACCACCAGCUAAGGUCCCAAAAUAUAUGUUAAGUGGAAAAGGAUGUGGCGUUGCCCAGACAACUAGGAUGUUGGCUUAGAAGCAGCCAUCAUUUAAAGAGUGCGUAAUAGCUCACUAGUCGAGUGACACUGCGCCGAAAAUGUACCGGGGCUAAACAUAUUACCGAAGCUGUGGAUUGUCCUUUGGACAAUGGUAGGAGAGCGUUCUAAGGGCGUUGAAGCAUGAUUGUAAGGACAUGUGGAGCGCUUAGAAGUGAGAAUGCCGGUGUGAGUAGCGAAAGACGGGUGAGAAUCCCGUCCACCGAUUGACUAAGGUUUCCAGAGGAAGGCUCGUCCGCUCUGGGUUAGUCGGGUCCUAAGCUGAGGCCGACAGGCGUAGGCGAUGGAUAACAGGUUGAUAUUCCUGUACCACCUAUAAUCGUUUUAAUCGAUGGGGGGACGCAGUAGGAUAGGCGAAGCGUGCGAUUGGAUUGCACGUCUAAGCAGUAAGGCUGAGUAUUAGGCAAAUCCGGUACUCGUUAAGGCUGAGCUGUGAUGGGGAGAAGACAUUGUGUCUUCGAGUCGUUGAUUUCACACUGCCGAGAAAAGCCUCUAGAUAGAAAAUAGGUGCCCGUACCGCAAACCGACACAGGUAGUCAAGAUGAGAAUUCUAAGGUGAGCGAGCGAACUCUCGUUAAGGAACUCGGCAAAAUGACCCCGUAACUUCGGGAGAAGGGGUGCUCUUUAGGGUUAACGCCCAGAAGAGCCGCAGUGAAUAGGCCCAAGCGACUGUUUAUCAAAAACACAGGUCUCUGCUAAACCGUAAGGUGAUGUAUAGGGGCUGACGCCUGCCCGGUGCUGGAAGGUUAAGAGGAGUGGUUAGCUUCUGCGAAGCUACGAAUCGAAGCCCCAGUAAACGGCGGCCGUAACUAUAACGGUCCUAAGGUAGCGAAAUUCCUUGUCGGGUAAGUUCCGACCCGCACGAAAGGCGUAACGAUUUGGGCACUGUCUCAACGAGAGACUCGGUGAAAUCAUAGUACCUGUGAAGAUGCAGGUUACCCGCGACAGGACGGAAAGACCCCGUGGAGCUUUACUGUAGCCUGAUAUUGAAAUUCGGCACAGCUUGUACAGGAUAGGUAGGAGCCUUUGAAACGUGAGCGCUAGCUUACGUGGAGGCGCUGGUGGGAUACUACCCUAGCUGUGUUGGCUUUCUAACCCGCACCACUUAUCGUGGUGGGAGACAGUGUCAGGCGGGCAGUUUGACUGGGGCGGUCGCCUCCUAAAAGGUAACGGAGGCGCUCAAAGGUUCCCUCAGAAUGGUUGGAAAUCAUUCAUAGAGUGUAAAGGCAUAAGGGAGCUUGACUGCGAGACCUACAAGUCGAGCAGGGUCGAAAGACGGACUUAGUGAUCCGGUGGUUCCGCAUGGAAGGGCCAUCGCUCAACGGAUAAAAGCUACCCCGGGGAUAACAGGCUUAUCUCCCCCAAGAGUUCACAUCGACGGGGAGGUUUGGCACCUCGAUGUCGGCUCAUCGCAUCCUGGGGCUGUAGUCGGUCCCAAGGGUUGGGCUGUUCGCCCAUUAAAGCGGUACGCGAGCUGGGUUCAGAACGUCGUGAGACAGUUCGGUCCCUAUCCGUCGUGGGCGUAGGAAAUUUGAGAGGAGCUGUCCUUAGUACGAGAGGACCGGGAUGGACAUACCUCUGGUGUACCAGUUGUCGUGCCAACGGCAUAGCUGGGUAGCUAUGUGUGGACGGGAUAAGUGCUGAAAGCAUCUAAGCAUGAAGCCCCCCUCAAGAUGAGAUUUCCCAACUUCGGUUAUAAGAUCCCUCAAAGAUGAUGAGGUUAAUAGGUUCGAGGUGGAAGCAUGGUGACAUGUGGAGCUGACGAAUACUAAUCGAUCGAAGACUUAAUCAA
rnacentral:rRNA from 1 species